rnacentral:rRNA from 1 species
CAGCCGCCGCGGUAAUACCGGCGGCCCGAGUGGCGGUCACUAUUAUUGGGCUUAAAGCGUCCGUAGCCGGGGUGGGAAGUCCUCCGGGAAAUCUGGCCGCUUAACGGUCAGAAUGCCGGAGGAUACUCCCAGCCUAGGGAGCGGGAGAGGCCGAGGGGAUUCCCGGAGUAGGGGUGAAAUCCUAUAAUCCCGGGAGGACCACCUGUGGCGAAGGCGCUCGGCUGGAACGCGUCCGACGGUGAGGGACGAAGGCCAGGGGAGCAAACCGGAUUAGAUACCCGGGUAGUCCUGGCUGUAAACGAUGCGGACUUUGUGUCGGACAAGCUAUGAGCUUGUCCGGUGCCGGAGGGAAACCGUUAAGCCCGCCGCCUGGGGAGUACGGCCGCAAGGCUGAAACUUAAAGGAAUUGGCGGG